GGACGAACGCUGGCGGCGUGCUUAACACAUGCAAGUCGAACGGAAAGGCCCUGCUUUUGUGGGGUGCUCGAGUGGCGAACGGGUGAGUAACCCGUGAGUAACCUUCCCUUGACUUUGGGAUAACUUCAGGAAGCUGGGGCUAAUACCGGAUAGGAGCUCCUGCUGCCUGGUGGGGGUUGGAAAGUUUCGGCGGUUGGGGAUGGACUCGCGGCUUAUCAGCUUGUUGGUGGGGUAGUGGCUUACCAAGGCUUUGACGGGUAGCCGGCCUGCGAGGGUGACCGGCCACAUUGGGACUGAGAUACGGCCCAGACUCCUACGGGAGGCAGCAGUGGGGAAUAUUGCACAAUGGGCGGAAGCCUGAUGCAGCAACGCCGCGUGCGGGAUGACGGCCUUCGGGUUGUAAACCGCUUUCGCCUGUGACGAAGCGUGAGUGACGGUAAUGGGUAAAGAAGCACCGGCUAACUACGUG
rnacentral:rRNA from 1 species